CAUUGACCAAUACGGACGUGUUUUUAAAGCGCUCUGAAAAAAGUUUUGACUUUUAAAUUUUUUUUACUACGACAGAAUCUUAGUUGACUGAUGGUCUUUGACAAAGACAGACUUGUUUUUGUGAGCUCUGAAAAAAAUUUGACUUUGAAAUAUUUUUACGAUUAAAAAGUUUCAGUUGACUUUUGAACGUUGACGAAGACGGACGUACUUUCGUGAGCUCUGACUAUUGAUGAAAAGUUUUCGCGUUAUAGAAUAGCGACUUGGUACUCAGGUUGUUGAAUGACUGGAUGACUGAAGUGUUAGGUUAUUGUUAUGAGAUAACAACUUGACUUUGACUUGAGUUGUGAAAUGAAAUCAUACUCUUAUGCGAUGUUAACUUUUGAACGUUUAGUAUUGACUGACAACGAACUUUUGUGAGCGUUAUAUAUGAAAUGUUUGACUUACAUUAAUUUUUUUGAACGACUUGACUUCACUUUAAGUUUUGACAUCGGACUGAUCGGACGUGUUUUUUUAAGCCCUGACUGUUGUGAAUAAUUAAAUUUAUGUUGUGGUGUCAAGCGAUUGACUGUCAGUUGAGGUUCAGAUGUCGAGCUGUGCGGACGUGUUCAUCGAGCUGCUGUCUACAAAAAACGGGGCUGUGGUGAGUAUUGUAGUAUAAAUUUGUUUCAAUAAAUCAUGAUGAAUGAAAACUGAUUUCGAUUCGUUUUGUACAGGUUUACUUGUAUAGAAGUGUAAUGCGUUGGGUAGAAAUUACUCAGUACUGAUAUAGUGUCGAUAUGUUGUGAUUAGCGAUGAUGGUGUAUGAUGGUGGAACAGAAUAUGAGCUACUUUGGGGAAACGAACAUAUGAUUGAAAAAAAUUUGCAAACAUAGUAGAUAAAUGAUAUGAUAUUGCUUAAAUUGUAUUUGCAUGCUGUAACAUUUCUAUUUCAUUUCAGGGUGCUGUGGUGAGUACUGUAGAUUGUAUUGCCUAUGUAUAGAAUUCAAUAAAAGAUUAUGACUGAAAACUGCUUUUGAUUCUUUUUGAACAGUUUUAGGGACUAUAAGUCUAUAACAAAAAUAUGUCGGUUGGCGUUCAUACAGCAAUGUUUUGAGUAGUACAGAAAUGUUUCUACGUUUGUGGUCGCCAGUUGUCUGUGAUGUGUAAAGUGAAAAAUACACGGAGCUUUGAAUACAACAAACAUUUACUGUUUUAACACAGAUUGUGUGCUAUGCAUUUUUCGAUGUAGAUCUUUUUCAGAUUUGACAUGAAAUGUAGACCUGACAUUUGAACAGAGCUGGGAAACGAAAAGGUAAGUUUGUUAAAUUUCACAAUGAACACUUGUGUUUUGACAAAAGAAGAGAUAAAGUGAGUUUUGUCAUCAUCAUGGUUUCUUUCAGAGUAUAACUCGUGAACAGAUGAAAACCUAUUUUUUGCUAGAUUUUCAUGUACUCUUUUUUUGGAUGAUAAGUAUGUCAGUAACUCAAAAUCAUACGGCUAGUACAGUAUGGAACAUGAAUGCUUUGUUCAGAUUUUCAGAUGUGUGCUGGCAGUUUAAGUCUGGCAGCUGAAGUGAACAGUCGUGUUUUCUGGAGCUCCAACAAUAUGCUAGAAGGUAAGUAACUAUGUUUGUUUUGCAUUGCAUGUUUUCAUAUGUUUCAGACUUUCAAGCAGAGAUGUCAUGCUGACUGGAGUUGAGCACAGGGCAGUGACAAAGUGAAAGGUAAGUACUUUUGACUGAAUGUUUGUUCUAUGCAUGUUUUGUUUCAAUACAUUUCAGGAGUGCUUAUCCAGUGAUGAUAUGACAGUUGGAGUGAACAGUGGAGCCAAGCAGUCUUGUUUUUGGAGCUACUCAACAAGCCUUGAAGGUAAGUUUAGAAUUUCUCAAUGUUAGUGAAUUGAAGUACUGUCACUUGCUUUUGGACAGUCGAACAGAACAGACGUGGUUGCGAGAGCUCUCAUAUCUGUUGUGUUAAACUGUUUUUAUGAUAUGUUAUGUUUGUUUGUUUGUUUGUGAUGUACUAUUUUUCAGAUGCUGAUGGCAGUGAUGGGUUUUCAAGCUGACCUGAACAGAAAAGCACUCAUAUGGUAAGUACAAAAUAGUUGUUAUAUGGGAUGUUGUGCAUGCUUUUAUGUUUCAGGUGUACUUGCAGUUAGAGACGAAGACGAUUCAAGAAGAGGACCAUAGGUCAGAAAGUGGAUGGAACAUACAAAGGGUAAGUUGAACCUGUGUUUUUGUUUGAUUUUUACCAUGCAUACUUUGCUUUGCUCUGUUUCAGAUUUCACAUGCAGAAAUUAAACAGGAUUUCAACUGCUGAAACAGAAUUCAUCAAAAGUAAGGUAAGUUUUAAUUCAUUGAUUUGAGUUGUACAAUGUGUUCUUUACUUUAUUUCAGAUUCGAGUCACUGGUUUACACAUGGAAGAAGAUUUCCACGUCUGUUACUCAACUCUACAGAAGCAAGGUAAGUCGAUCAAAUUUUUGUUUUAAUUUGUACUGCUGUAAUGUGAUGGUAAACUUAUGCUAUUUUUCAUGUGUGUCAUGUACAGAUGGAUAAUUCAAGUUUUAUCUGUGUUGGUUUAUGUUCAAAAACGUUUUACAUGUAUGUGUGUUUGAAGAUGUUUUGUUUCAGUGGAUGGCCAGAUGGCAAGCAGAACAGACGUGUUUCUUGGAGCUGCCAAACAGUGAGUACAAACGUUUUAUAUUUUUCAGUUGUUUACUCAUAGAAGUCUGUGAAAGAUGAUAACAAGGGUUGAAUCUAUCAGCACUUGUGUCUAAAAAUGCUGAUGUGUGAUGGUUUACUGAAAGGGGUAAAUGCUAGCCAGUACUUACACUUGAGCAACCGUGGGAUGUCGAACUAACUGAUGAUGUACUAUGAUGGUGAACACUUACUUUGUGUAUCGAAAUGCUUUUGUUGAUAUUUACUAAAUAUUGAUUGACAUUUGUUUGCAUGCUGUUAACAUUUCUAUUUCAUUUCAGUUGGCUGUGGUGAGUAUUGUAAUAUACAUUUGUUUCAAUAAAUCAUGAUGAAUGAACACUGAUUUCGAUUCUUUUUUACAGUUUUAGGGAUUAUCACUCUAUAACAACUCUGUCGGUUGGUGUUCGUGAAUGUGAGCUUAAUGUUUGAGUAGUACAAAAAUGUCUUUACUUUUGUGAUCGCCAGUUGUCUGUGAUGUAAAGUGGAAAAAACACAGCUAUGAAGCAUACAAUUGUUUCAAUAUUUUAUCAAUGAUAGUGUGCUAUGCAUGUUUUGAUUUAGUUCGUUUCAGGUAUGACAUGACAUGAAGAGUUGACAGUCGAACAGAGCUGAGCAAAGCAGAAAGGUAAGUGUGUUUCAUUUUAGUAUGAACACUUGUAUUUUGUUUUUAUAUGGUAUGUUUUGUGCAUGCUAUGUUUCAGGUGUACUUGUAGUCAGCGACGAAGACGAUUCAAGAAGAGGAACAUUGCUGAGAAAGUGAAUGGGACAUGCAAACAGGGUAAGUGUUACAAUUGUUGGUUUGAUUUUUACCAUGCAUACUUUGCUUUACUCUGUUUCAGAUUUCACAUGCAGAAAUGGUCUCAUAGCAGUGCCAACAGUGAAUAAGGAUUUCAUCUGCUGUGAACCAACUCAACAGAAAGUAGGUAAGCAUUGAAUGAAUGCACUUGAGCUGUACAAUUUGAUGUGAUGCUUUUCUCUGUUUCAGAUUCAAGUUCCUGGUGUAGACAGAGAAAUGUGUUUGAAGAAGGAAUUCUACUACUGUGAUUCAACUCUACAGAAGCAAGGUAAGUAGAAACAAAAUUUUGGUUUAAUUUAACUCAUGUGUUUUGCACUGCAUGCUAUUUUUCAGGUCUCUCACGCAGUGAUGGAAAAGAAGAUUUCAAGAAAGAAUCACUGCUGCAACUCAGGCCUAUAACAAGGUAAGUGUUUACUAUAUUGUAUACAAAAUGUUUCUCUGUUUUACUCUGUUUCAGGUUUCAAUUGCAAAGAUGUUGCAGAGAUGUUUUGACAGCUUGAGACAGAAAAGAAAUUCAGCAGCUGUGUCUCGACUCUAGCCACGAGGUAAGUCAAAACAAAUAUACUGGUUUGUAUGUAAUGUUGUUAUGCCAUUCUAUGUUUCAGACUUACAUUGCUGUGACUGUUCCACAGUGGGUCAAAAAAGAGACGAAUACAGGUUUCAAGAAGAAAAUUGGCUGUUGAAAACCUGCACAAAAUAUGAGGUAAGUAAACUAUUCUUUUGGUUUGUUUUGUGCUUUGUUAUGCUUAACUAUUUUUCAGAUUGGAAUGGUGGGUCGUUACAGAGCAGACUUUUGGACAACUGAGAAGUUGAGAAACAGAGAAUGAUUCAAGAUCAGCUAGGUAAGUCUUGAUUAUUGUGCAUUGCUAAAUGUUUUUUUCAUUCCAGUAUGGCUGUGGUAAGUACACAAACUUUCUAUAAUUUAAUAUUGAACUGUUUUUAUGACCUGUAUUCUGCAUUGUAAAAUGUCUGUUUUUCAUUUCAGUAUCCUGUGGUAAGUACACUAACUUUGUAUAAUUUCAUAUUGAAAUGUUUUGAUGACUUGUAUCCUGCUAUGCAAUGCUUAAUAUAUUUUUCAUUUCAGUGUGGCUGUGGUAAGUACAAUUGCCUUCUUUAAUUUUCAUAUUGAACUGUUUUGAUGAUUUGUAUACUGCUAUGCAAUGCUUAUUGUUUUUUACAUUUCAGUGUGGCUGUGGUAAGUACACUAACUUUCUUUAAUUUUCAUAUUGAACUGUUUUGAUGACUUGUAUACUGCAUUGUAAAAUGUGUUUCUUUUUCAUUUCAGUAUGGCUGUGGUAAGUACAAUUGCCUUCUUUAAUUUUCAUAUUGAACUGUUUUGAUGACUUUUAUUCUGCCAUACAAAAUGUGUUUUUUUUCAUUUCAGUUGCCUGUUGGUAAGUACAAUUUGCUUUCUUUAAUUGCAUAUUGAAAUAUGUUUUAUGACUUUUAUUCUGCUAUGCUUUUUUCAUUUCAGUUUGGCAGAUGUAAGUACACUUCAUUUAUGUAAAAACUGAAUAUGAUUGUUGUGCUAUACAAAAUGUGCUUUUUUCAAUUUCAGGUCAGCAAUGGUAAGUAGAUUGUGUUUCUUUAUGUAUAAUUUUGUAUACAUAUUGUUUUUUUCAUCAUAGCAUGUCUUUUAUAUUUAUGCUUUGUGUAAGUAAAAUGUUCAUAAAUCAUUCUUAUCUUCAAACUAAAAAUGUAUUGUGCUAUGCAAAAUGUCUGUAUGAUUUCAGUUGCCAGAGGUGAGUACCAUUACAGUUGAAAAGUUAGUUUUGUUUAGUUAAAGUUUUGGUUCACAGUUCUGUUUAUUAUUUGGCAAAAUUUGCAUGUAUGCAUUGAGUCUUGAUUUCAGCUCGAUUGUGGACUGAAGAAGAUUGCCAGCAGAGGGAUUGGAUACAAAAUACAAAGUAAGUACUGAGUUUCUUACUAAAAGUUUUGAGUUGUAUUCAUUGUGUGUUAAUAUGCUAUGAUUGCUAUGAACAUGACUUUUGUAUUUCAGCGAAGACAACAUAGGUAAGUAAAAUUGUUAUCUGUUUCAUGUUUACUGUUACAGUUCAAUAUUGUGUUUAUAAAUUGUAAGUUGUACAAACACAUUCAAAAGUUUCUGAUCAUGCUUUCGAUUUCAUUUCAGCUUUACUGCUGGACGAGUGUUCUCUACUACUAGACGUGUCAGGUUUACUACCAGGCGAGCAGUGACAACAAGGCGCCUUUGUGGAAACAACACAACAAAAAACUGUACUGCUAGACGAGCAGUGACAGAAAGGCGCCUGAACAUGCAACACAAAACAAAAAAUGCCAAUAUCCAAACCUUGAUGUGGACACCGAGUAGUCAAUACAUACGUGUGGCGUAUAGCUGCGACAAAACCGUGGGUCCAUCGCACCGAUAACUUGAACAUUGGCCCGUGUAUGGACAUCAGUGCAACUUUGUGAAUCCAUGUAACUUUGUGAAUCCAUGUAACAUUGCGAAUGUGUGUCGAUCGAAAAAUGUGUACAUUCUGCACUGAAACGAACUCGGUGUUGCAAGUGGCAAGUGUUGACAGUGUGUAUGUUUAUGUUUAUGUUUUUACAUGAAAAAUAAAGGAGAUUGUUGUUUUA